rnacentral:rRNA from 1 species
AACGGCCGUACCAUGCUGAAUAUACCGGUUCUCGUUAGAUCACCGAAGUCAAGCAUCAUUGGGCGCGGCCAGUACUUGGGUGGGUGACCACCUGCGAACACUGCGUGCCGUU